AUUGAACGCUGGCGGCAGGCCUAACACAUGCAAGUCGAGCGGAUGAAGGGAGCUUGCUCCUGGAUUCAGCGGCGGACGGGUGAGUAAUGCCUAGGAAUCUGCUUGGUAGUGGGGGAUAACGUCCGGAAACGGGCGCUAAUACCGCAUACGUCCUGAGGGAGCAAGUGGGGGAUCUUCGGACCUCACGCUAUCAGAUGAGCCUAGGUCGGGUUAGCUAGCUGGUGGGGUAAAGGCCUACCUAGGCGACGAUUGGUAACUGGUCUGAGAGGAUGAUCAGUCACACUGGAACGUGAACACGGACCAGACUCCUACGGGAGGCAGCAGUGGGGUAUAUUGGACAGUGGGCGAAAGCCUGGUCCAGCCAUGCCGCGUGUGUGAAGAAGGUCUUCGGAUUGUAAAGCACUUUAAGUUGGGAGAAAGCGCAGUAAGUUAAUACCUUGCUGUUGUGACGUUACCAACAGAAUAAGCACCGGCUAACUUCGUG
rnacentral:rRNA from 1 species